GGAAUAAACAUCCUCUUUCUGUUUUUGGUAUUACUCUUUUCUGUAAUUAGCCAUUGAAACUAAUUGGCCAUAGGACUGCUAGGGUUUAUAUAGUCGUUGAUUCUAACAUCUCCUCUGAUAACAAUUGCCUUUCAGAUUGUCAGGAUUUUGCGGCAAGCCUGCUGCCAGCUGAGCCAGGUUAUCUACCCCUACUUCCAGACCUUUGCCUGGGUGUCUUUAAGGCAAUCAGCUGAUGAAGGACCUGAUAUUCCCAACACUGUUAUGCAAUGAACAGAUGAGAGGUGCCUGAGACACUGAACCAAACAUUUGGUUCAUUUCAUC
rnacentral:lncRNA from 1 species